CAACGAUUUGCUAUGUUGGAAAUGAAGGCUAUGAUAGCCUCUCUGAUACACAAUUUUUACUUGGAGCCCGUUAACUAUUUAAAGGAUCUUCGAAUGGAGGUUGGUAUCGUACUUGGCUCUGCUGAUCCAAUUCGUAUAAGAUUUGUUCCUGUCUGUAAUCUUAAUGCAAAUCUUUGAAUCAAAUACCGAUUUAAUAAGCGUCAUAGAAGACAAAUGUUAGCAAGGGCAAUAAUCACGUUAUGCGUUCUCUGAAUUGCCAAAAUCCAGAGAUAUUUAAACCAGAUAGAUUUUUGCCCAAGAAGAUCUGAAAUCGUUACUCUUACUUAUAUUUAUCAUUCUGUGUUGGACCACGUAAUUGCAUCGAAAAAUUCGCAAAGCUUAAUGGAGGCAUAUUGGAAUUGAUUACCUUUUAUCUGUAUAUUACCUAAUUGCGAGCAAGAGAGUUAAAACGCAUUAAAGAGACGUCAGUCGGAAUUAAAAAAUAAACUAAAUUAUCCGAUAAGAGAUAAUUAUAUAUGCGGCGUAUAAUUUAAUUUUACAUUUAAUAAACAAUGUUACAUGAAAUAAAAGUGUUGUCGCGUUUA